GAAAUGGACGACUAGGGUUCCGGUCCACCGCAUGUCAGAUGCGAUGGAUGCUGGUCCGAGAGUUGUCGACCUCAAGGGUGCUUCGAGGUUACACGGCGGGAUAAAAGCCCGGGAGAG
rnacentral:sRNA from 2 species